rnacentral:rRNA from 1 species
UUCCAGACUCCUACGGGAGGCAGCAGUGGGGAAUAUUGCACAAUGGGGGAAACCCUGAUGCAGCGACGCCGCGUGGGUGAAGAAGUAUUUCGGUAUGUAAAGCCCUAUCAGCAGGGAAGAAAGAGGACGGUACCUGACUAAGAAGCCCCGGCUAACUACGUGCCAGCAGCCGCGGUAAUACGUAGGGGGCAAGCGUUAUCCGGAUUUACUGGGUGUAAAGGGAGCGUAGACGGCAGAUCAAGUCUGGAGUGAAAUCCCGGGGCUCAACCCCGGAGCUGCUCUGGAAACUGAGAAGCUAGAGUACUGGAGAGGCAGGCGGAAUUCCUAGUGUAGCGGUGAAAUGCGUAGAUAUUAGGAGGAACACCAGUGGCGAAGGCGGCCUGCUGGACAGCGACUGACGUUGAGGCUCGAAAGCGUGGGGAGCAAACAGGAUUAGAUACCCCAGUA